UACAGAGGUCUCAAGCGUUGUUCGGAUUCAUUGGGCGUAAAGAGCUCGUAGGCGGUUUGUCGCGUCUGCCGUGAAAGUCCGGGGCUCAACUCCGGAUCUGCGGUGGGUACGGGCAGACUAGAGUGAUGUAGGGGAGACUGGAAUUCCUGGUGUAGCGGUGAAAUGCGCAGAUAUCAGGAGGAACACCGAUGGCGAAGGCAGGUCUCUGGGCAUUAACUGACGCUGAGGAGCGAAAGCAUGGGGAGCGAACAGG
rnacentral:rRNA from 1 species